rnacentral:rRNA from 1 species
UACAGAGGUCUCAAGCGUUGUUCGGAUUCAUUGGGCGUAAAGGGUGCGUAGGCGGCGCGGUAAGUCGGGUGUGAAAUCUUGGAGCUUAACUCCGAAACUGCAUUCGAUACUGCCGUGCUUAAGGACUGGAGAGGAGACUGGAAUUUACGGUGUAGCGGUGAAAUGCGUAGAUAUCGUAAGGAAGACCAGUGGCGAAGGCGGGGUCUCUGGACAGUUCCUGACGCUGAGGCACGAAGGCCAGGGGAGCAAACGGG